GCUUGGGAUAGCUCAGUCGGUGGAGCAUGAGAUUCUUAAUCUCAGGGUUGUGGGUUUCCAGCCCCACUCUGGGCA